UACAGAGGGGGCAAGCGUUGUUCGGAAUUACUGGGCGUAAAGGGCGCGUAGGCGGCCUUCUAAGUCGAACGUGAAAUCCCCGGGCUCAACCCGGGAACUGCGUCCGAGACUGAAAGGCUCGAAUCCGGGAGAGGGAUGUGGAAUUCCAGGUGUAGCGGUGAAAUGCGUAGAUAUCUGGAGGAACACCGGUGGCGAAGGCGGCGUUCUGGACUGCAACUGACACUGUAAAACGAAAGCCAGGGGAGCAAACGGG
rnacentral:rRNA from 1 species